rnacentral:ncRNA from 1 species
GAUCCGUAACUUCGGGAAAAGGACUGGCUCUGAGGGUUGGGCCUAGGGGUCUUUUCGGAGAGCUUGUGGCGGCCUACGUUGGGCUGCGUCUGGACCUUUCGGGGACCGGAUGCGCCUGGCGGUUGGGCUACUCUUGUUGUGCCGGAGAGAAAGGUGGUUGGCUUUCGGGUUGGCUGCUGUGUCCUUAGUGCGUUGAACAACCGGCUCAGAACUGGAGC